rnacentral:rRNA from 1 species
CAGUCGCCGCGGGAAUACGAAGGGGGCUAGCGUUGUUCGGAUUUACUGGGCGUAAAGGGCGCGUAGGCGGGCGAUUUAGUUAGAGGUGAAAUCCCAAGGCUCAACCUUGGAACUGCCUUUGAUACUGAUCGUCUUGAGUUCGAGAGAGGUAAGUGGAACUGCGAGUGUAGAGGUGAAAUUCGUAGAUAUUCGCAAGAACACCAGUGGCGAAGGCGGCUUACUGGCUCGAUACUGACGCUGAGGCGCGAAAGCGUGGGGAGCAAACAGGAUUAGAUACCCCCGUAGUCCCUGUAUCUUAUAU